UGAAGAAAAAGAAAAAUACAUCAUACAUUUUGUUUGCAAUGGCCACUCAUGAUUUCAGGUGUUUGUGUCUUAUUUUCCUUUUUCUCACAACUCUAUUUUCCAUCACCCAAGCAAGCAGAGACAUUUCGGAGUUAGAAGAAAUCAUUGAUUCAGGGAGCAACAAUGUUCAUAUUUCAGGAUGUCGCCCAAGAAAAUGUGAAAAUAUAGGAAAAUGUUGGUGCUGAAUUUACACAAAAGACAUGUAUGAAGGAUGUGCCAAGGAAAAGGAUGCGUGUGUACCCAGAUGCCAUGAACCACCACAAAAAAGCUUAAUUAAUACUAAGAAUUAACAAGAAUAUAAAAGAUUAAUUAUAGUAAAGUAUCAUUUCUUCCCCAUCCGUAUUAAUUUUAUAGAAUGAAAUACAAUUCAAUGUUAUCAAUAAAAGGGUAAAUGUCCAUGAGAAGCUGUAAUAAUUCCAUUUUUGAAUAAACAAAGUCUGUUAUGCC